AUACGUAGGUGGCAAGCGUUGUCCGGAUUUAUUGGGCGUAAAGCGCGCGCAGGCGGCUAUGUAAGUCUGGUGUUAAAGCCCGGGGCUCAACCCCGGUUCGCAUCGGAAACUGUGUAGCUUGAGUGCAGAAGAGGAAAGCGGUAUUCCACGUGCAGCGGUGAAAUGCGUAGAGAUGUGGAGGAACACCAGUGGCGAAGGCGGCUUUCUGGUCUGUAACUGACGCUGAGGCGCGAAAGCGUGGGGAGCAAACAGGAUUAGAUACCCUGGUAGUCCACGCCGUAAACGAUGAGUGCUAGGUGUUGGGGGUUUCAAUACCCUCAGUGCCGCAGCUAACGCAAUAAGCACUCCGCCUGGGGAGUACGCUCGCAAGAGUGAA
rnacentral:rRNA from 1 species